CCUACGGGCGGCAGCAGUGGGGAAUAUUGCACAAUGGGGGAAACCCUGAUGCAGCGACGCCGCGUGAGUGAAGAAGGACUUCGGUAUGUAAAGCUCUAUCAUCAGGGACGAAGUAUGACGGUACCUGACUAAUAAGCUCCGGCUAACUACGUGCCAGCAGCCGCGGUAAUACGUAGGGGGCAAGCGUUAUCCGGAUUUACUGGGUGUAAAGGGAGCGUAGGCGGCUGUGCAAGUCUGAAGUGAAAUCCCAGGGCUGAACCCUGGGACUGCUUUGGAAACUGUGUAUCUAGAGUGAUGGAGAGGUAAGCGGAAGGCCUAGUGUAGCGGUGAAAUGCGUAGAUAUUGGGAGGAACACCAGUGGCGAAGGCGGCUUACUGGACAGUAACUGACGUUGAGGCGCGAAAGCGUGGGGAGCAAACAGGAUUAGAUACCCGGGUAGUC
rnacentral:rRNA from 1 species